GACGAACGCUGGCGGCGUGCUUAACACAUGCAAGUCGAACGGUGAAGCGAGUGCUUGCACUCGUGGAUCAGUGGCGAACGGGUGAGUAACACGUGAGUAACCUGCCCAUCACUCUGGGAUAAGCACUGGAAACGGUGUCUAGUACUGGAUACGACCAACCCUUGCAUGGGGUGUUGGUGGAAAGAUUUAUCGGUGAUGGAUGGACUCGCGGCCUAUCAGCUUGUUGGCGGGGUAAUGGCCCACCAAGGCGACGACGGGUAGCCGGCCUGAGAGGGUGACCGGCCACACUGGGACUGAGACACGGCCCAGACUCCUACGGGAGGCAGCAGUGGGGAAUAUUGCACAAUGGGCGAAAGCCUGAUGCAGCGACGCCGCGUGAGGGAUGACGGCCUUCGGGUUGUAAACCUCUUUCAGCAGGGAAGAAGCGAAAGUGACGGUACCUGCAGAAGAAGCACCGGCUAACUACGUG
rnacentral:rRNA from 1 species